rnacentral:tRNA from 1 species
UAUCUUCCUUUUAGCAGAAUAUUGCCUUAGACUUAGAAUCUAAAAUAACCUUA